GACUCCUUGAUGCUUACCAUGGCCAAAGGUGACCAGAGGCUGAGGCACCUGGGGCAAUAGCCACAAGUGGUCCAGAGGACAGGGCCAGGACACAAGAGCAGAAGGAAAUGCCAUGCAGCAUUGGUAAACUGUGUCCCCAAUGGUGACAUUAAGGCAUGAAUUUCUCGAACCCACCAUCUUUCUCAUCCUGCCCCCAGGCCUCAGCAUUCAGCCGUGACCACCGUCCUGAGUCAGGAAUGUCAUUGUCUAGAAGAGUCUGAUUGCAAGAGGAAGAGAGAGGAAUAAAUCAUUAUUGAGGUCAAGGAGAAGAGCUUGGCUCAGCAACAAAAAAAUCAUGCCUUAUGGUUUGUCCCAGCAUUGCGAUCCAUUCCUGGGUUAAGAAUAGUGUAACUUCUCCCUCCCCAGUUAGCUCUUUUUCCUCCCUUCCCUCAUUCCCCACACACCUCCCCCAACAUGAGGAUGUUUAAAUUCUGGAAGUAGAGCUCCCAUCUGCUCACGUCUUCUCCUAUCACCAUGGUUACUGGGCCCAGAGUGGUCUCUGUGGAGACAGAGGCAGAACAGUAACCAGGGACAACUACAGAGCAAGAGGCAGUAAAAGUGAGGAUGAUUUUUCAACCCCCAGUUAAACUGGCAUGCCCAUACUGACAAGAUUUUGGAUUUUGAAGUGGCAUUUCAGAUUUUAAAGGCCUUUGAUCCAGAACAAAAGAUAAAAUAUGAUAUGUUUGGUAAUUCCUUACCACUAUAUUAAAAAACGCAAUAUUCGUGGUAUGCUACAUCUGAAAUGCUGGGGUGAGGGGUAGGGG